CUGCUCAGUCUCCUGCAAACUGGAGGUCUGACUGCUCCCUCCUGCGCCCCUCCUGCCCAUCCCCCUCCAGCCACCCGCCCUCUUAGUUCUCUCACUCUUCCUUCAUCUCUUUCUUUCUCUUCCUUUUUUUUUUUUUUGAGACGGAGUCUCGCUCGCCCUGUCACCCAGGCUGGAGUGCAGUGGUGUGAUCUCGGCUCACUGCAACCUCCGCAUCCCAGCUCUUGGCCAAAUAUGUAGUGUAUUCAUAUAGUGGAAUAUUAGGUUCAUGAGCAUAGCCAGUGCCUUUGGCACAGGAGGUGCUUGAUUUGCCUCAGUUCCUUUGUUCUGAGGGCACCAAGUGCUUCUUUCUAGCAAAGACUCAGGGAUAUUAAACCGAAAGGAGGACAAAGAAGUAGUGCCUAGCCCUAUAGUCUCUUUAUAACAGCUGUCCUUCCUCCUUCUAAGCCAAAAUGCUGUGAUUGGAGAGCCAGAGAAAACAUCUGAAGCCCAUAUUUGUUUCUCCUCCUUUGAUAUGGGGACUCCAGGUAUGGAAUUUAGCAUUUGAGUAAAUGCCACCUGACAUUUACUCAUUCAUUCAGCAAAGUCGGCACUCAAGAUGAGCUUUGUCCCUCUCCUCACAGAAUUUCUAGUCAAGCAGGGUGGUUGUGCAGAGAAAAAAUGAGAGAAAUGUGAGGGAAGGGUGCAUGCUGGUACCAUGGGCUGUAAGUGGGCUGUGCAUAGUUUCUGGCAGUUAGGGCCUCUCUGAGGAAGUGCAUCUAAGCCAAGGCCUGGAGGAUGGCCAGGAACUAGCUAGGUAGAGAGGAGGGGAGUCAGAUGACAGGGCUGAACUGCAGUGCCUUCCCAGAGCUGCAGUCAGGAUGGCUACUGGCUGGAAGCAGUUGUGGGGAGUGAGCUGAACCUGGGGGCACACCUGGGACCCAGAGCCAGAGCUGGGGGAGAGCCUAGACUGCUGGUCUUGGGAUUUUGGACUUUAACCUAAGAGCAGUGGAGUGCCUUUGAAGAUUUUAUAGAUAGAAAUGACUGUAACAUUAGACUUCUAUUAAUUUUUAGAUAGCUUCGAAGAACAAGGAAUGAAACUUUGGGCCCCAGAGCAGUAUGUGAGGCUAUAAUGGUUCAGGAAGUCAAAAAAUCUAAAGCAGGAAGUCAAGAAGAAAAGGCUGUAUUUUAGCCCCUUUUGUUUUAUCGUCAGAGAUAAAAUCUGGUUCAAAGAUAAAUUGUGAUGUGUUAUAUGGCAGUGCUCUGUGAAGUUUCUAAAGCCAUGCUUGUUGUUAUCUGCUCAGCUUAGCCUACUCUAGUAAGAAUUAAAGAAGAAUGUUUUUAUAACUGAUUUGCAUUAAAAAUAAAACUUUUCCUAGUAUUGUCUCGUAGUCACCCAGUUGUUUGGAACAUUUUGAUUUGUAGUCUAGUGGGCAUCACCCAUCAGGACCCUCCUAGCACCUAAAGUCAAUAUGGAGAAAGAUAUAGGGGAUUAACGUUUUGCACUGAUAGCUAGUUGUAUAUCUUAGAAGGCAGCUCUACCUGGUGGAAGAAGCCCUGUGGGCCUGUGAGUCUUGGGGAUAUUUACUAGUUGUCAGACUCUAAGUAAGUCACGUAUCCUGUAGUACAGGGUUAGGAAACUGUGGCUCUGGGAAUUGAAGUUUGUUCACCCCUCUUCAUAGUUGUUAUAAAGAUCAAAUGGGAAACUGCAUUGUUAAGUGUAAAGAGCCAUAUGUAUGUGUAUAUACACAUAUAUAUUGUAUACAUAUAUAUGAGAUGAUAUCAUUUUGAAAGGGUUAGCAUUAUGUUUAGUUGUAAUUAACAGGAAACCUUACUAAUAAGGACUUACACAUAGGGAGUAAUUUGUCUCACAUGAUAAGCAGUUUGUGGCUGGCAUAGCUACUCACUAGUGCCACUGAAGGGCCCAAGCUGUCUCUGACUCUGUAUUUUCCAUUGCUAGAGUGUAUUAGCUUUCCUGCUCAUGCUAGCUGCCCCUGGGGGUGGCACUUACAUCAAAAGGAGAAUGCUUUCCCAGAAACCUGUGGCUUAUGCAUCAUUGGCUGGAACUGUCAUAUGGCCAUUCCUAGCUGGAAGGAGUCUGGGAAGCCAAGUAUUUUAGCUGAGCAUAUGGCCACGAUCAAAACCAAGGUCUAUAAGUAAGGAAAAGCUGGAUUGAAUAUUCAUUAAGGAGCCAGCACUGUCACAUAGUUGCUUACAUUAAUUUUUUUUCUAGAAUCUGUGUUGAGUAAGAGACUUUCCUGUGUGAUUGGAACUUGCAGCUUUAUUAUUAGUCAGUAUCUGUUCUGUCUGCCCUCUAUUUUGUAGCCUGCCCUCUGAAGGCAUGCCAUGCCUCAAAUACCAUUCUACAUUGUCUUCUGUGUCUGGAUAGAUAAAGACCUAGUUUCAACAUAAAAGAGUAAUUUGCAUAAAGAUACAAUCAGGUGUCUAUAAACCUUUAUAGCUGUUGAGAAUGAGGUAGCUAGAACCCAAAGGAGGUGCCCAUAAAUGGCUAAUAGCCUCAUUACAGGAUGUAUGUCUAGCACAUUCCGUUUACUUCAUUCCCCACAUAAACUAAUAAGAAAACAAGCCAGGGAUAACAACACCCUGCUUUUUUAAAAAACUUCUUGAAAGUUCAUGAGUACUAAAGCACUCAUGGUCAUAGCAGGCUCAAAUGCCCAAGUGCCUGUUUGAAUAUGGAUGGUAUUUCUUGCAGAAAAUUGUAUUGUGAAGACAGUUUGAAGGAUGACCACACAUUUCCUCCCCUGAAGCAGCUGCAUUGGUUAGUUGAACUGUUACACUUUUAACAGCUUGUGUGCAAGGGGAUGGCGUGGGAGGAGUAGCUGUAACUUUCAGUCCUCAGGCAGCCUGAGCAGUGCUCUCGGUGCAGGAUGCAGGGUGUAGAGAGCUG
rnacentral:lncRNA from 10 species